GAUGAACGCUGGCGGCGUGCCUAAUACAUGCAAGUCGAGCGAAGAGACGAGGAGCUUGCUCCUCUGACGUUAGCGGCGGACGGGUGAGUAACACGUGGAUAACCUACCUAUAAGACUGGGAUAACUUCGGGAAACCGGAGCUAAUACCGGAUAAUAUAUUGAACCGCAUGGUUCAAAAGUGAAAGACGGUUUUGCUGUCACUUAUAGAUGGAUCCGCGCCGCAUUAGCUAGUUGGUAAGGUAACGGCUUACCAAGGCAACGAUGCGUAGCCGACCUGAGAGGGUGAUCGGCCACACUGGAACUGAGACACGGUCCAGACUCCUACGGGAGGCAGCAGUAGGGAAUCUUCCGCAAUGGGCGAAAGCCUGACGGAGCAACGCCGCGUGAGUGAUGAAGGUCUUCGGAUCGUAAAACUCUGUUAUUAGGGAAGAACAAAUGUGUAAGUAACUAUGCACGUCUUGACGGUACCUAAUCAGAAAGCCACGGCUAACUACGUG
rnacentral:rRNA from 1 species